rnacentral:rRNA from 1 species
UACGUAGGCAGCAAGCGUUGUUCGGAGUUACUGGGCGUAAAGGGUGCGUAGGCGGCUUUUUAAGUUUGGUGUGAAAUCUCCCGGCUCAACUGGGAGGGUGCGCCGAAUACUGAGAGGCUAGAGUGUGGGGGAGGAAAGUGGAAUUCCUGGUGUAGCGGUGAAAUGCGUAGAUAUCAGGAGGAACACCGGUGGUGUAAACGGCUUUCUGGACCAUAACUGACGCUGAGGCACGAAAGCGUGGGUAGCAAACAGG